CGUUUUUUGUUUUUAAUCAGAGAAAGUCACCCCAUUUUCAGACCCUCCUCUAUCUAUCUAUGAUUCUUUUGCAUCUCUCCCCCUUUUCUCUCACACACUUUCUCCCAAAACCAUGGCUGCUUCUUCUCUCUUUCUCCACCAAGCCUCCCUUAUGAGUCACGAUCUCCGAUCUCUUUCCUCCAUCUACCAAACUCUGAUAGCUCUCUCUCCAUUAUGAACACCGAUUGCUGGCCGAAAAAUUUAUUUGUCACACUGAUCCACGCACAUCUCGCCGACUCCGCAAUUUCCGCCGGAACAACAAAUGACCUUCGUAAUUGUCACCGGUGUUUUGGUGCUGUUUGGCGUGGCCGUGUUUUGAGCAUUGGCCCUUUGUAAUCUGUUUUUCUGUUCGCAUUCUUAGGUGUGUCUUACACCUUAGUUCUGCUUAAUAAAAUUUAGGAAGAAAAAAAAUAUGACAUGGCAUUGAUGAAUCCUUAGAUUAUUUUGAGUUUGAUGUAAUUAUGGAUGAUUUUCAAUUAAUUCAAGAUGAAUUACAACA